UAGGCUUAGUGCUAGGGGCUGGUUCUAUCCAUAACACCUGUGCACUGUUGGAUGCUUGCAUCCACUUUUAAACUAAACAUUAUUGUAACAAAUGUAGUCUUAUUAUAACAUAAUAAAACUUUCAACAACGGAUCUCUUGGCUCUCGCAUCGAUGAAGAACGCAGCGAAAUGCGAUAAGUAAUGUGAAUUGCAGAAUUCAGUGAAUCAUCGAAUCUUUGAACGCACCUUGCGCUCCUUGGUAUUCCGAGGAGCAUGCCUGUUUGAGUGUCAUGAAACCCUCAAACCCAAGUUUUGGAUUUCGGUCCAUGCUUGAGUUUGGAUUUGGAUGUUUGCCGGUGAUGAACCGACUCAUCUUAAAAGUAUUAGCUGGAUCUGUCUAUAUGACUGGUUUGACUUGGCAUAAUAAGUAUUUUGCUGAGGACAUCUUCGGAUGGCCAGGACCUAGACUACUGUCUGCUAACUAAACCAUCACUUUAAGUGCAUCCUUGGAUGUUACUCAUUGUGUAACUUUGACAUCUGGCCUCAAAUCAGGUAGGACUACCCGCUGAACUUAAGCAUAUCAAUAAGCGGAGGA
rnacentral:rRNA from 1 species